UUUGACGGCCAUCGCGGCGGGGAUACGCCUGGUCUCGUCCGAUCCCAGAAGCUAAGCCCGCCCGCGUUCCCUGUGUUACUGUGGUGCGCGAGCCCACGGGAAGCCCGGAACGCUGUCAGCC
rnacentral:rRNA from 1 species